CCUGACGCAGCGACGCCGCGUGAGUGAUGAAGGCCUUCGGGUCGUAAAGCUCUGUCGUAUGGGAAUAACACAAUGAAUGUACCAUGCAAGAAAGGAUCGGCUAACUUCGUGCCAGCAGCCGCGGUAAGACGAGGGAUCCUAGCGUUGUUCGGAAUCAUUGGGCGUAAAGCGGGUGUAGGCGGGCUUCUAAGUCAGAUGUGAAAUCCCAGGGCUCAACCCUGGAAGUGCAUUUGAUACUGGAAGUCUUGAGUGUGGUAGAGGUUACUGGAAUUGUUGGUGUAGUGGUGAAAUACGUAGAUAUCAACAGGAAUACCGGAGGCGAAGGCGAGUAACUGGGCCAACACUGACGCUGAGACCCGAAAGCGUGGGGAUCAAACAGGAUUAGAUACCCUGGUAGUCCACGCCAUAAACGAUGGAUACUUGUUGUUAGAGGUAUUGACCCCUCUAGUGACGUAGCUAACGCGUUAAGUAUCCCGCCUGGGGAGUACGGUCGCAAGAUUAAAACUCA
rnacentral:rRNA from 1 species